rnacentral:tRNA from 1 species
AAGGGAGACCUAAUUCAGGUAGGAGACGAAAAAAAAGUAGUCCCUACCAAGAAUCAAUCCCAAAAGGUCGGAGCGAGGCAAAAUUGGCUUUCAAACUAGGUUCUGGGUUCACACAAGACCUGAAUCAGGAACAAGGGCUAUUAGCUCAGGUGGUUAGAGCGCACCCCUGAUAAGGGUGAGGUCCCUGGUUCGAGUCCAGGAUGGCCCACCUGUACAGGUAGCAAAAACAAAGAAAAGAAGCGAGGAAUCAGCACCUUAUCUUACUUAUAUAGUAAGAGAGAAUGCUGGCUCUGAGUUCAGAGUCCAGAGGAACCUUGAAAACUGCAUAGAGCUAGGUGAAAAAGCCAAAAAAGAAGACCACAA